AGUGAACGCUGGCGGCAGGCCUAAUACAUGCGAGUCGAACGGCAGCACAGUGGAGCUUGCUCCAUGGGUGGCGAGUGGCGGACGGGUGAGGAAUACAUGGGAAUCUGCCCAGUCGUGGGGGAUAACGUAGGGAAACUUACGCUAAUACCGCAUGCGCCCUUCGGGGGAAAGCCGGGGACCUUCGGGCCUGGCGCGAUUGGAUGAGCCCAUGUUCGAUUAGCUAGUUGGCGGGGUAAAGGCCCACCAAGGCGACGAUCGAUAGCUGGUCUGAGAGGAUGAUCAGCCACACUGGGACUGAGACACGGCCCAGACUCCUACGGGAGGUAGCAGUAGGGAAUAUUGGACAAUGGGCGCAAGCCUGAUCCAGCCAUGCCGCGUGAGUGAAGAAGGCCCUCGGGUUGUAAAGCUCUUUUGUCCGGGAAGAAAAGCAUCGGGCUAAUACCUCGGUGUUCUGACGGUACCGGAAGAAUAAGCACCGGCUAACUUCGUG
rnacentral:rRNA from 1 species